GCCCUCGUAGAUCAGUUGGUAGAUCCCUCCCUUAUCAUGGUUUUCGAAUCGUAGAAUUUCAGGGAGCGCCGUGGGUUCGACUCCCACCGCGGGCG